AUGCCUCUCAUUUACAUAAAUAUUAUACUAGAAUUUACCAUCUCACUUCUAGGAAUACUAGUAUAUCGCUCACACCUGAUAUCCUCCCUACUAUGCCUAGAAGGAAUAAUACUAUCACUAUUCAUUAUAGCCACUCUCAUAACCCUCAACACCCACUCCCUCUUAGCCAAUAUUGUACCUAUCGCCAUACUAGUCUUUGCUGCCUGCAAGGCAGCAGUAGGCCUAGCCCUACUAGUCUCAAUCUCCAACACGUAUGGCCUAGACUACGUACAUAACCUAAGCCUACUCCAAUGCUAA
rnacentral:lncRNA from 1 species